GGGUCUUCCAGGAGCGCGCUUGAGCGGACGCUGCCUACCGGUGGCCGGGCGGGAUGUAACCCGCUGCUGAGCUGGCAGCUCUGUGUCGCUAGGCUUCGGCCCGGCCGCCGCCGCACAUAAGCUGCGAGGAGGAGCUUUACGACUUCCCGGUCUUCGGGGCCGGGCGCAGCAAGGGCCAGACUCUGCGCUAGCAGGCGCUGCGCGCCAACCGGCCGGCACCUGUCGCAGAAGGUGCAACCGAUCGCACUGUCGCGCCGAAGCUCCUCAAUGGCCAGCGCCAGCUGCAGCCCCGGCCGCCCACUCGCCUCACCUGAGCCUGGGAGCUUGAAAAAUCACAUUUGAGAAGAGGAUUGGAUCCUAGCCAUAACAUAAAUAUAAGGGUGGAACCAAAGUUUUAAUCAAAGAAGGUGGUGUUCAGUUGCUGCUUACAAUAGUUGAUACCCCAGGAUUUGGAGAUGCAGUGGAUAACAGUAAUUGCUGGCAGCCUGUUAUCAAUUACAUUGAUAUUAAAUUUGAGGACUACCUAAAUGCAGAAUCGCGAGUGAACAGAUGUCAGAUGCCUGGUAACAGGGUGCAGUGUUGUUUAUACUUCAUUGCUCCUUCAGGACAUGGACCAUUACAUAACUGAAGACUCCCACCUUCAGGCAGGAUUGGGUAGUACGUGUUUGUAACUACCUGGCAUUGCCUUUUGUUGAGGAAGGGUAGAUGUCUACCCAAAUGGAAUAUUGAGUAUCAGAGACUUCAAAUGAUAACUUUUGUUUGUUUGGAGAAAAUCUUGAGGACGUGAUCACUGUACAAAAGCAUGGCAAAAUGAGGAAACCACUGACAGGUGAAGAAUUUGCACAAUGGAAAACCACCUUGACCAUCUCAUGACUUUAUACAGGAAUCGGAGUGAGUUGGACUAUGGAUCAGGUACUGUGCUCAGCAUCAGAAAAUGGGAUGACAAUGAACAGAGUAACAGGACUAUAUUUCUGAAAAAGGAUGAACUUACUGGAAACAGGAUUGCGUGCCUGAAAUAUAUCCAAAUGGAUAUAAAUGUCAACUCAGUUCUGGGCUGGAGAUAUAGAUUUGGAAUGCACCAACAAUGCAGAUGGUAAUCCUGGCAUGCGAGUAGGUGAGAUCAUCCAGGGAGAUGGCCUAUAAUGAGAGCCUACAACAUGUCAGAUUCUGUUCACUCUCUGCUAUCAGUUGCUGUGUCCUUAAGGAAUGCAGACAAUGUUAAUUCAAGCAAAACAAUAGAAAGAAAAUGAUUUGAAAUGAAAACUUGGCUUUAAAAAGUUACAUAAUAUACUCUCAAGCUAAAUAUAGGUUAUUUUUUAGUAUCUGC
rnacentral:lncRNA from 1 species